AUGUUCGGCAAUUGGUUGAGGGGAAUAGAUAAACAAUUGUCUAAGCACAUUCUUGCGGGGGCAGCUGCCUUAUGUUGGGCGUUGUGGCUCACCAGGAAUGAUAUUGUUUUUAAUCAUAAAAGUGUUUCAUCUCCUAUGCAGGUAAUUCAUAUAUGCUCGCGAUGGCUCCGUAUGUGGUCUAUCCUGCAGAGGCCGGAGGACAUAGACUUUUUUAUGAUGGCUUCUACCCGGUUGGAGUGCUCGGCCAGGGACAUUUUUUUACCCCCAUGGAUGGCGGUUUGA
rnacentral:rRNA from 1 species